CGGAGCUCCGCCCGCACGGCCCCGGGCGCGGAGGCUCCGCGGCGCUGGCCGGCACCCGCAGGUACCGCACGCUGCCCCCGGAGGAUGCCCGCGCCGGCGCGCCUCUGUUCGCUACGCGUAUCGGAAAGGGGCGAGGAGGAAAUUCCCCUUCCACCGUGUGCUCCCGGCAGGCCUGCUGCUCUCCGCGCUGCCAAAGGGAGAAAGGCGAUGUUGCGGAGGCCGCUGGAGGGUUCCCAGAGUCUCGCAGUUUCCGUCUCAGAAUUACAGUUGGACUUCUUGAGGUUUAUUUGGAGUGAGCCUUGAAGGAGCUCAGCGCACAGGCAGCGCGGGAUUCCCUCUUCCCACAUCCCCGGCCAGCCCUUUCCAGCUGAUGACUGUCUACAUGGGCUGCCCUUGUGCCCUCCCUGUGCUCCCCUCCUUCUGUCACUGUGUGCCCGCUCUCAGCUUUCCCCGUCUCCUCAUGAUUUCAGAGAAAUGUUUUCCCCCGCGCCAAGGAAAAAAAACAAACGUGAAACGCCCACAAAACCAAACAAAUUGCUGAUCUCGACAGGCGAAGCAGGUUCCCCAUUCCUGUUCACCUGCAGCCCGACUUUGGACUUUGUUAGUGAGCUGUGGGACCGCUCCGAGGGGACACCGGCACCGAGAGCCGCUGUCGGGAGAGGCAGCAAGCUACAGAUGAGAAGUUAUCCAGGGUGAGCUGAGGAAACAGUGCAGGAAAAUCUGAACCAAUUCUGCAGUCACAGAAAGGGCGUUGCAUUGCCAUGAACUACUCGGGCCAGUAACACGGUAGCCAAGAUCUCAGGCUCUAAUGUCCUAUAACAUACACUGCGCAAAUCCAAGCUUGGAAUGAGAGCCCUCACCCUGACACCAGUGCUAGCAUGUGAUUGAAAAAAAUAUUCUGCCUUCAAGAGUGCUUCUAUCAAAGAAUGGUCCUUUUGAGGCCCCUAAACAAGAAAACAGACUCAGGAGAAUUGAACAUGAAGUAAAGUGAAGGAAGAGAGAGACUAACAAGUGAGCUAUGACAGCAAAGAUUACUUUUGGGGGAAAGAAAUCAGCACAGGCAGAGGAAUGAAUGGACACAGAGGAAGAAAUAAUGACAGGAGAGAAAGGGAAGACACAGUAAAAGACACUACGGGAGAAGCCUGACGGAGAGGGGCUCGCGGAUGAGAGCGACAGAAAACUCCAUUUGCAGUCAAUAACAGCAUCCCUCACAGAGGACCUCUCCACUCAGUGACCUCUGAAGUUGCAAGGACACAUGGCCUAGACAGGAACUGCAUUGCCUUACUGACAGGCUUGGAGAUGGACAUUAUGGUUGAUUGUCUUACUCACUCAUCUUCCACAGUGAAGGCAUACAGCAAUGAUCAGUAAG